GACGAACGCUGGCGGCGUGCCUAAUACAUGCAAGUAGAACGCACAGUUUAUACCGUAGCUUGCUACACCAUAGACUGUGAGUUGCGAACGGGUGAGUAACGCGUAGGUAACCUGCCUGGUAGCGGGGGAUAACUAUUGGAAACGAUAGCUAAUACCGCAUAAUAUUAAUUAUUGCAUGAUAAUUAAUUGAAAGGUGCAAUUGCACCACUACCAGAUGGACCUGCGUUGUAUUAGCUAGUAGGUGAGGUAACGGCUCACCUAGGCGACGAUACAUAGCCGACCUGAGAGGGUGAUCGGCCACACUGGGACUGAGACACGGCCCAGACUCCUACGGGAGGCAGCAGUAGGGAAUCUUCGGCAAUGGACGAAAGUCUGACCGAGCAACGCCGCGUGAGGGAAGAAGGUUUUCGGAUCGUAAAGCUCUGUUGUAAGAGAAGAACGGGUGUGAGAGUGGAAAGUUCACACUGUGACGGUAUCUUACCAGAAAGGGACGGCUAACUACGUG
rnacentral:rRNA from 1 species